UACGUAGGCAGCGAGCGUUGUUCGGAAUUACUGGGCGUAAAGAGUGUGUAGGCGGUGUUCCCAGUCUGUUGUGAAAUCUCCCGGCUUAACUGGGAGGGUGCAGCGGAAACUAGAAUGCUAGAGGGUGGGAGAGGUAAGCGGAAUUCCUGGUGUAGCGGUGAAAUGCGUAGAUAUCAGGAGGAACACCGGUGGCGAAGGCGGUUCUCUGGGCAUGUCCUGACGCUGAGGAGCGAAAGUGUGGGGAGCGAACAGG
rnacentral:rRNA from 1 species